GACGAACGCUGGCGGCGUGCUUAACACAUGCAAGUCGAACGGAAAGGCCCUGCUUUUGUGGGGUGCUCGAGUGGCGAACGGGUGAGUAACACGUGAGUAACCUGCCCUUGACUUUGGGAUAACUUCAGGAAACUGGGGCUAAUACCGGAUAGGAGCUCCUGCUGCAUGGUGGGGGUUGGAAAGUUUCGGCGGUUGGGGAUGGACUCGCGGCUUAUCAGCUUGUUGGUGGGGUAGUGGCUUACCAAGGCUUUGACGGGUAGCCGGCCUGAGAGGGUGACCGGCCACAUUGGGACUGAGAUACGGCCCAGACUCCUACGGGAGGCAGCAGUGGGGAAUAUUGCACAAUGGGCGGAAGCCUGAGGCAGCAACGCCGCGUGCGGGAUGACGGCCUUCGGGUUGGAAACCGCUUUCGCCUGUGACGAAGCGUGAGUGACGGUAAUGGGGAAAGAAGCACCGGCUAACUACGU
rnacentral:rRNA from 1 species